UGUGUGUGUGUGUGUGUGCACUGCAGUGUGAUGGAGGUUUUUGUACGAUGGUUUCAUUAGAAUGUAUCACUGUGGUGGACUUUUGGUGGAGGCUCCAAACUCGUGGUGAACACGGGUACCACAGCUCCCUCCGUGUCUCUGCUCCCUCCGUCCCCACUGCAGCUGUCUGAGGGAUCGGCCUCGCUGCUCUGCCUGCUGUCUGGCUACUCUCCACAGGGGGCGCUGGUGAGCUGGACAGUGGACGGCUCACAGGUGAAGAACGAGGUUCUGACCAGCGCAGAAGAAGAGAAGAACGGCCGUUACAGCCGCAGCAGCACCCUGACCCUCAGCAAAGACCUCUGGGAAAAGGGGGAGGAGUUCAGCUGUAGGGUCUCCCAUAACAACGUCGAUCAUCCGGUCACAUUCAGAAAGAGUCAGUGUGAAGGCUAGUGGUAACACCGAGUUUAACAUAGAGCUGCUUAUGAUCCAUCUACAAUAGAGUUUCAAGUCUACAAAAUGCUGACAUUUCUGUCUUUACUCUCUUCACUGUCCUGUUGCUCUUCCUGUAGUUUUUGCUGAAAUAAAGCUGAGUUUUGGA